AGGCCUGUGAAAUGAGGUAGGAGUUAGAAGAGACCUGAUCUUUAAGACCUUCUUUGGAGUCCUGGAAAAGGGGGUGAAAUUACUCGAUAUGAGCUGUUCUAUCAAGAGGAAAAAGCUGUUCCAAAACUGAGACAGCUGAAGGAUACAGCAGUGAUAAAGAAUCUGCCUGCCAAUGCAGGGGAUGCAAGAGAUGUGGGUUUGAUCCCUGGGUCAGGAAGAUCCCCUGGAAGAGGAAAUGGUAACCCACUCCAGGAUUCUUGCCUGUACGAUCCCAUGGACAGUGGAGUCUGGUGGGCUACAGUCCAUGAGGUCGCAAAGAGUCGGACAAGACUGAACAACUGAGCACAUG
ensembl:lncRNA